CCAAACUUGGUCAUUUAGAGGAAGUAAAAGUCGUAACAAGGUCUCCGUUGGUGAACCAGCGGAGGGAUCAUUAGAGAGUAUAACAACUCCCAAACCCAUGUGAACCUACCUAUCGUUGCCUCGGUGGAGAGGGGAUAACCUACGAGUGGAAACACUGUGAUAAUAUACUACUUCACAUUCCCUCGAUCAACCUGCGAGAACUCAGCGUAGAUUUACGUACUCGGGGCUGAUGGGCCACCCGGGUCUUGCUACCCGGGUGCUCCGGGUGAACUCCCUCGCCGCCGCGGGCCCGCGAAAACUCUGUUUUAUUUUGGAACUCUGAAUCUUAAAACAAAUAAGUCAAAACUUUCAACAACGGAUCUCUUGGUUCUGGCAUCGAUGAAGAACGCAGC
rnacentral:misc_RNA from 1 species